rnacentral:rRNA from 1 species
CGGAUUUGGCGGCAAGAUAGCUUUUUAGAGGAACCUGCCCUGUGAACGAUGAUCCACGAGAGCCUUACUUUAUUUUGAAACCAGUUUGUAUACCGCUGUUGUCAGUUAGAUUUUUGAGAAUAUUUUCUUUUUGGUAAAGCCAAUGACUUCAAGUAAAGGUGCAGCUUAUAAUAAAGAUAGAWASSAWUUACAAUUAUAAGAAUAAUACGGAUUAAGAGCUUAAUAAACUUAUGAAGGUGGAUUUAACUGUAAA